AGCUGAUGCAGAGUGAUGGUUUUCCUCCCAGUACCAUCGCGUCGGCUGUUCCCCUCUGGAGGUUAGACACCUUCACACCUCAAAACGGGCCUCGGUCUUCCGGCGGCCCGAUUUU
rnacentral:sRNA from 1 species